AUGGCGGCGGUGGCGGAGGGCUCGCCCGCGGCUUCCGCGCAGGCGGCUUCCGCGGCGGCGGCCAAGGAGGCGGAGUACCGCAAGGACGUGCAGAAGCUGGUGGACCUGCUCUCCAAGCUGAACCCGGCCGCCAAGGAGUUCGUCCCGUCCUCCGCGGCCGCCACGCCCAGGAAGGGGCUGUCGGCGGACGCGCCGGUGUUCUACUACGGCUCGAUCGGAGGCCGGAACGGGGGGAUCGCCGGGUACCCCGGCGCUGACGCCGGGUACAUUGGGUACCAGCAGCGCAUGAGGAGGAAUUUUGUAGAUAAUGAGAGGAGGAAUGUAUACAUCAAUCAUGGAAGGAGGAGGACAAACGAGAGGGCGAGGCGUGCAGACAGGGAAGAGAGCAUCCGGCGAACCGUUUAUGUCUCUGAACUCGACCAUACUGUGACAGAGGAAAGACUUGCUGAAACCUUUGCUAAUUGUGGGCAAGUUGUCGAUUGCAGAAUCUGUGGUGAUCCACAUUCUGUUAUGAGGUUUGCAUUCAUUGAGUUCUCUGGUGAAGAGGGUGCUAGAGCUGCACUUAACCUUGGUGGCACAAUGCUUGGGUUCUACCCCGUUAGAGUCUUGCCUUCAAAGACGGCUAUCUUACCUGUGAAUCCAAAAUUUCUCCCAGCGACGGAGGAUGAGAAGGAAAUGGUCAUACGGACGGUUUAUUGUACAAAUAUAGAUAAGAAGGUUACCCAAUUAGAUGUAAAGAGUUUCUUUGAAGAACUUUGUGGUGAGGUCUCUCGUUUGAGACUUCUAGGCGACAAUGUACAUUCAACAAGGAUUGCUUUUGUUGAGUUUGUCAAUGCUGAGGGUGCUAUCCAGGCUCUGAAUUGCAGUGGGAUGAUUUUGGGCACACUGCCAGUCAGGGUGAGCCCUUCCAAGACCCCGGUGAAGCCCCGUUUAAAUAGGGUGGUGUCAAACUGA
rnacentral:rRNA from 1 species